AUGUCUGGUCUGUGGGCGCCUCUCGUCGUCCUCGCGUUGCUCGCCUCAGCGGGCGAUGGCGCGAAGGUGCACCACAAACACGGCAGGUUCACCGCGGGCCCGUGGAAGCCGGCGCACGCCACCUUCUACGGCGGACGCGAUGGGUCCGACACCCGCGCCGGCGCAUGCGGCUACAAGGACACGGUGGCGGAGGGGUACGGCCUACAGACGGCGGCCGUGAGCACCGCGAUGUUCAACGGCGGUGAGACUUGCGGGGCGUGCUACGAGGUGCGGUGCACGGACAGCCCGGAGUGGUGCAAGGCCGGCACGGCGCCUUUGACGGUGACAGCGACGAACCUGUGCCCGCCCAACUACCAGCUGCCCGGCGACGACGGCGGGUGGUGCAACCCGCCACGCGAGCACCUGGACCUCACCAUGCCGGCCUUCUUGCAGAUCGCGGAGGAGAAGGCCGGCAUUGUGCCCAUCUCGUACCGCCGUGUGCCUUGCGUGAAGCUGGGCGGGAUCCGGUACACGAUCACAGGGAACAAAUACUUCAACAUGGUGGCCGUGACGAACGUGGGCGGGGCGGGGGACGUGGCGGCGCUCAAGGUGAAGGGGAACAAGCGCGUCAAGUGGACGUUGCUGCAGCGCAACUGGGGCCAGGUGUGGCAGACCUCCGAGGACCUCACCGGCGAGUCGCUCACGUUCCGCGUCAUGACCGGCGACCACCGCAAGCACACGUCCUGGCACGUCCUCCCGCGGGACUGGCAGUUCGGCGUCACCUACCAGGCACCCAAGAACUUCUAA
rnacentral:rRNA from 1 species